rnacentral:lncRNA from 1 species
GCAGCGUUUCACUUAAGUGGCGCUCCUUUUUGAAUUGUCCAGGGGAUCGAUUCCCCGCUCCAGCAAAAUCCAUUGGCCUUGUGUUUUUUUCUUUCAUAUAUGCUUAUCAUGUACAUGCUUCCUUCCAUCAUUUUUUUUUAUUUUUCUUUUACAUUCAAAAAAUCAUAAAUCAAAAAAUAAUAAUCCAAAUCACAUGAGGUUUUUUAUGCCAUGAUCCUUUUAAUGUCCUUUAUUU